AUCUGUAUCUGUGGCCAUAGCGGUAUCUGUGUGUGCGCGAUAUGGGUACUGGUGUGUGUUUAUGCGCCGCUAUCUCUUUCCAGCAGUCGCACCCAUCGAACUAUGGCGCCUGCUGGCCCGCUCGCUCCUCGAUUAUUUUAUCUGCUCCGUAGGCAACCAAUCGGAUGGUCGUUUCAUUGCCAGGCCCCAGUAAUUGCUGUGCACACACACCCCCGCCCUCAGAUCCAGUUCCAGCCGCCCCCACCGCGCCCCUGGCCACUUUCGGGCUACGAUAAUUUCACGCAGUGCUAAUUAAUUGCCCAACAAUCGAAGCGUUUUGGAAUGCAGGCUUAAAGAGCGUGGGAACUAACCGAAAAUAUGAAUGAAAUCACGGCUGAGAGGGGUCAGAGGAAGUUGUCGCCUCAGUUUGGACAAGCCAUCGAAUAAACUGGAAAUCCCAGAGCUGGGAAGCCAGGAAGGCCAGCGGAGGCAGCCAAAUUCAAUUAGUAAUAAACAAGACUUUGAUAUAUGGAGGAAUAUCUACCCGCAGGCCACAAUCGAUCGAUUCAACGAAGGUGGUGUAUCCCACCCGGCUUCCCAGAUUCCAGAUUUCAGAUUCUAGAUUCCAGAUCCACACAUGUGUGUGACUAUAAAAUUUAUUAAAGCCCAGGGGCUGGGCAGGGGCAACAAAUAGUUGCGUGGGCAUCUGUGGGGAUCUGAAGUUAGCAGUUGCAGUUGCACUUCCAGUUGCCAUUCAGUCGGUGCAUAAUAAAGCAAUUCAGAGAAAUCAUUUGGGAGGCCAUUUGAAGUGCGCCUAUUAAAUGCGGCAAGAAAUCACAGCCAAGGCGCAACAAGCUGUAAACUUGUUGCAGAUAAAAAAAAAUUUGAAAGAUAUUCGCAAAAGGGUAUGGUACUAUAUGGGUCGCAAGAAUAGAUCUUAUUGAA